rnacentral:rRNA from 1 species
UACGGAGGGUGCAAACGUUGCUCGGAAUCAUUGGGCGUAAAGCGCACGUAGGCGGUCCAGCAAGCGGGGAGUGAAAUCCCUCGGCUUAACCGAGGAAGUGCUUUCCGAACUACUGGACUUGAAUACUGAAGAGGAUCGCGGAAUUCCGGGUGUAGCGGUGGAAUGCGUAGAGAUCCGGAAGAACACCGGAGGCGAAGGCGGCUUGCUGGGCUUGGUCUGACGCUGAGGCGCGAAAGCGUGGGGAGCGAACAGG